CUUGCAUGGAUGAGCAUUGGAGGUGCACCGGCGGGAGGAAGGGAACGACGGGACACGACGUGGUCAACUCACAACCACGAGCUCUGGAAAAACGUCUAACUCUUCCGUUUUUCUUAAGCCAGGCUAAAAAUCUCUUGAGUGACUUGCUGAAGCCUGGCUAAAGGGUCUGUUCAAUCAAUCAAAAACCCUGUACAGGCCCAGCACCACCGUGGCACCGCGCACAUGUGGGUGGCUGCGACUACGACUUGGUGGACCGGACCGUGUCUCCCCUGGCCGGCCGUCCGUCCGGCCCAGGUCUGCAUGCAGUCUGCUUACGGCACUGCACUGCACUGCAUGCUCUCAGUCUGUUCGCUGUCACGCUAUGGUAGUAGUACGGAGUACGUGUAGUCUCAAAAUUUUUUGCAAAAUUUGUUAGAUUUUCAGUCACAUCGAAUUUUUAAAUGCACAAAUAAAAUAUUAAAUAUAAAAAAAAAAACUAAUUGCACAGUUUAGUCGGAAUUAACGAGACGAGUCUUUUAAACCUAGUUAGUCCAUAAUUAGACAAUAUUUGUCAAAUAUAAACAAAAAUGCUACAUUAUCGAUUUCGCAAAAACUAAAACGAUCCACGUACUUCAGCGGCCGGCAGCAUCCGCGUAUUGACUUGUCAAAGUCAGCGAGACGUAUAUCUCUUCAGCUCAAGAAAAUAACUAUAAGACCUUGUCUAGUUUCACUCAAAAUCAAAAAAACUUUUUAAGAUUCUCCAAUACAUCGAAUCUUGUAGCAUAUGCAUAAAAUAUUAAAUAUAAAUAAAAAAUAACUAAUUAUACAGUUUAUCUAUAAUUUACGAGACAAUUUUUUUAAACUUAAUUAAUUUAUAGUUAGACAAUAAUUAUUAAAUACAAAUAAAAGUGCUACAGUAUCAAAAACUUUUAACCUAAAUAAGGGUAUAGGUACGUACGUGAUGGUAAAUUAAAGUAUAUAUCUUUGCAUUGUAAAAUGCAUGUAGAACUAUUCUAGAACACUUUUUGACAAAACCGUGCAACACCUUUGACUGCACUUACUGAUGACUGCUGGUUGCUAGUCAGAUCAGAGGAGAGUCGUAGUCGCCCGAUCCGUGUCUCACGCACGCAGAAGCGAGAAGGCAUGCAUGCAAUGGAGUCUCCCCUGAUGACCCUUUCCUAGCUUCCAGAGCUUGCUUGUGUUCAUUCAUCAUACGAUAAAACAACACUCUCGGAGUCAGGAAACGAUUGAUGAACACGCGUGCAUGAGUCAAAGAUGGUACAUUUUUCACGCGUGUGCUUUCAUCAGGGAAAAAGAAGGAGACCAUGUUCAUAUGCAGUCGCAUAUAUACACUUGUGGUACUUAAGGUCUUCGGUUAUCAAUUAAGUACCUCGAUUAGAACAAGUUUAAUUUCUUCAGAGUUUUCUUUUUCUUCCUCCAGAACACGCACGCACGUCAGAUGGACUGGCUGGCGUCGGUAAUUUCGAACGAGUUUGCCUUGUUUAUUAGUUCAAAAAAAUUUUGUAAAAUUUUUCAGAUUCUUCGUCACAUCGAAUUGACAGCACAUGUAUAAAGUAUUAAAUAUAAAUAAAAAAUAACUAAUUGCACAG
rnacentral:lncRNA from 1 species